rnacentral:lncRNA from 1 species
UUUGAUGAGAAGAAGAGAAAGUAGUCAAGAUCGAGAAUAGAAAACCACAAUUGUAAAUAACCAACUUGAAAAACAACUAUGAAGUAGUUAUCAAGUUGUUAUUAAUUAGUUGGAGUUACUUGAUAUAUAAGUAACAUAUCACCCUUGUAUCAAACUAGACUUUUGAGUUAUGAAAAGCUUGUAUAUCAUUUUUCUCUCUUUAUCUCAAUAAUUA